AGAGUUUGAUCCUGGCUCAGAAUGAACGCUAGCGGUAGGCUUAAUACAUGCAAGUUGAACGUGCCUUCAGUUUACUGAAGGCAAGUAGCAGACGGGUGAGUAAUGCUUGGAAAUCUACUCAGAAGACAUGAAUAACUAUCAGAAAUGGUAGCUAAUACAAGAUAAUACCCUGAGGGGGAAAGGUUUAUUCCGCUUUUGAAUGAGUCCAAGUUAGAUUAGUUAGUUGGUGGGGUAAAUGCCUACCAAGACGAUGAUCUAUAGCUGGNUUGAGAGAAUGAUCAGNCACACUGGAACUUGAGACACGGUCCAGACUUCUACGGAAGGCAGCAGUAGGGAAUCAUGGACAAUGGGCGCAAGCCUGAUCCUGCAUACCGNAUGAGUGAAGAAGGCCUUAGGGUUGUAAAGCUCUUUUAGUGGGGAAGAUAAUUGACGGUACCCACAGAAAAAGUCCCGGCUAACUUUGUGCCAGCAGCCGCGGUAAUACAAAGGGGGCAAGCGUUAUUCGGAAUUACUGGGUGUAAAGGGUGUGUAGGUGGUUUAGUAAGUUGAAAGUGAAAUUCCAGAGCUUAACUUUGGCAUUGCUUUCAAAACUACUAUAACUAGAGUUAGAUAGAGGGUAACAGAAUUCCUAGUGUAAAGGUGGAAUUUGUAGAUAUUAGGAGGAAUACCAGAGGUGAAGACGGUUGCCUGGGGUCUAUACUGACACUGAGACACGAAGGCAUGGGGAGCAAACAGGAUUAGAUACCCUGGUAGUCCAUGCUGUAAACGAUGAGUGCUAAAUGUCAGGGUUUUUACCUUGGUAUUGUAGCUAACGCAUUAAGCACUCCACCUGGGGAUUACGGUCGCAAGACUAAAACUCAAAGGAAUUGACGGGGACCUGCACAAGCGGUGGAGUAUGUUGCUUAAUUCGAUGCAACGCGCAUAACCUUACCCUUUCUUGACAUGAAGAACUAAAUCCAUUUUAACAGAUGGCCUCAGUUUGGCUGGGUUCUUCACAGGUGUUGCAUGACUGUCGUCAGCUCGGUGUCGUGAGAUGUUGGGUUAAGUCCCAUAACGAGCGCAACCCCUAUCUUUAGUUGCCAGCGAGUAAUGUCGGGAACUUUUAAAGAAACUGCCAGCGAUAAGUUUGGAGGAAGGUGGGGAUGACGUCAAGUCAUCAUGGCCCUUAUGAGGGGGGCUGCAAACGUACUACAAUGGCAACUACAAUGAGAAGCAAUAUUGUGAGAUAAAGCAAAUCUCUUAAAAGUUGUCUCAGUUCAGAUUGUUCUCUGCAACUCGGGAACAUGAAGUAGGAAUCGCUAGUAAUCGUGGAUCACCAUGUCACGGUGAAUACGUUCUCAGGUCUUGUACACACUGCCCGUCACGCCAUGGGAGCCGUCCAUACUUUAAAGUGGCAAUUCAACCUGUUUUUCAGGAGAUAACCACUCACAGUGGGGGCGACAACUGGGGUGAAGUCGUAACAAGGUAACAGUAGGUGAACCUGCGGCUGGAUCACCUCCUU
rnacentral:rRNA from 1 species